CGAGUGGCGAACGGGUGAGUAAUGCAUCGGAACGUGCCCAGUCGUGGGGGAUAACGUAGCGAAAGCUACGCUAAUACCGCAUACGAUCUAUGGAUGAAAGCGGGGGAUCGCAAGACCUCGCGCGAUUGGAGCGGCCGAUAUCAGAUUAGGUAGUUGGUGAGGUAAAGGCUCACCAAGCCGACGAUCUGUAGCUGGUCUGAGAGGACGACCAGCCACACUGGGACUGAGACACGGCCCAGACUCCUACGGGAGGCAGCAGUGGGGAAUUUUGGACAAUGGGCGCAAGCCUGAUCCAGCAAUGCCGCGUGCAGGAUGAAGGCCUUCGGGUUGUAAACUGCUUUUGUACGGAACGAAAAGGCUUCCACUAAUACUGGGAGCUCAUGACGGUACCGUAAGAAUAAGCACCGGCUA
rnacentral:rRNA from 1 species